UUCUCCUAUACGCAAAAUUCCCCUCCAUCAAAGCCCAAGUCUCCACUAAUUUUGAAAGGGGAUCUAGGGUUUUUCUGAUUUUGAUUGAAUUUUGAGUUUAUCAUUUCGUCUCUAACGAAAUUGGUAAUGCCGGUGGUAACGGAGGAGUCAAGAAGCCACAUCGUUACCGUCCUUGAACCAUCGCUGUUCGUGAGAUUCAUAAAUCUAGUGAAGAUGAGAUUAGAGCCGAGAAGAAUCCUCGCCCAUUUGAUGAAGAUGAUAUCGCUCUCGUAAAGAAUUAUGUUUGAUUCAUUGAGUCAAUAGAUUAUUUUCUGUCAAAGCACUAUGUUAACAGGUUUUCACAAGAUGCAGGUUUUCACAAGAUGCAGGUCUUCACAUGUGUAGGUUUUAACAUUAUACAUAACGAAGUUCAAGUUGUGGAGACAUGUGACUGAGGCUAAGAAGAAACAUUCAGAGAAGAAGAUGACGAAGUCUGAUGAACCUAAGCCAAAAAGACUUAGAAUAGCCAAGGAUACGAAGAAGAGCUCUUCUACUUUAAACAUGCCCAAACGACCUCUUACGGGCUUCUUUAUCUUCGUGAAUAUAUUCUGUCAUUCUUUUUGACGAGAGCAUCUAAGUUCUCUCAUUAAGGAUGUUGCAAAGAUCGGUGGUGGAAAGUGGACGUCUAUGACUGAGGAAUUGAGUUGCUUUAUUAUCUUGUUUCUUUGUUAGUUUCAUGGCGAUUUGUUUCUCUUUGUAGUUUAUCUCAUAAAUUAGUUCUUUGUUGUGUAAGAGUAAUAGUUAGAUUUUUUUGUAUAAGACUUGUUAUAUAUGUUUUGUGUAAUGAAUAUUUUUGAUAAUU